rnacentral:rRNA from 2 species
AAAUUUUCUUAAGGAACUCGGCAAAAUCCCAAUGGCCCACCAGGGCAUAUUGGAACACGGGCCUCGACUGUUUACCAAAAACAUAGCCCUCGGCCAAUAUGAAAAUAGAUGUAUAGAGGGUGAUGCCUGCCCAAUGGUUGUAUCUAAAAGCGGUUGAUAAAAGUCGACCUCGUAAGGACAAUUGAAUGGCCGCGGUAACACUGACCGUGAUAAUGUAGCGUAAUCAAUAGCCAAUUAAUUGUUGGCCAGUAUGAAUGGCGCCACGAAGGCCCCACUGUCUUAAGGAAAUUCCCAGUGAAAUUGAAUUCGUAGUGAAGAUGCUACGUCCAAUUUGUUAGACGAAAAGACCCCGUUGAGCUUUACUGGGGCACUUACACGGCCCCGGCCUUCCCGUGUCCGGGAACCGGCCGAAUUUAAAUGGGUGGUUUAGACUAUGUGGCAGCCCCCCGCCGGGGCAGAUGAAACCCCACUCCCCCAUGUCAAAGGGGCUAACCCCCCCCUUGGGGGGGACAGUGUAAGUAGGACAGUUUGGUUGGGGCGACCGCCUUUUAAAGAGUAACGAAGGUGCGCUUAAGGUGCGCAAUUAAUGACUGAAGCCUGACUGCGAGGGGGACACCCCGAGCAGACACCCCUAAGCCCGCCCGAAGGGCGGCGGUGGGGUGGGCCAUAGUGACCCGUU